rnacentral:tRNA from 1 species
GGAAUGUAGCUCAAUGGUAGAGUACUUGCCUAGCAUAUGCAAGGCCCUGGGUUCCAUUCCCAGCACCA